UGGGCUUGACAUGGCGCUGCAAGCGCACGGAAACGUGUGACCUUCGAGGGUGCGCCACAGGUGCUGCAUGGCUGUCGUCAGCUCGUGUCGUGAGAUGUUGGGUUAAGUCCCGCAACGAGCGCAACCCCCGUGGCGUGUUGCCAGCAUUAAGUUGGGGACUCAUGGGGAACUGCCGGUGAUAAACCGGAGGAAGGUGGGGAUGACGUCCGAGAGUACGUCC
rnacentral:misc_RNA from 1 species